AUUGAACGCUGGCGGCAGGCCUAACACAUGCAAGUCGAGCGAGCGGCGGACGGGUGAGUAAUGUAUGGGGACUGCCCGAUCGAGGGGGAUAACUACUGGAAACGCUGGCUAAUACCGCAUAAUGUCGGAUAACCCAUAUGGGAUUAGCUAGUAGGUAAGGUAAGGGCUUACCUAGGCGACGAUCCCUAGCUGGUCUGAGAGGAUGAUCAGCCACACGUGGACUGAGACAAGGCCCAGACUCCUACGGAGGCAGCAGUGGGGAAUAUUGCACAAUGGGCUCAAGCCUGAUGCAGCCAGGCCGCGUGUAUGAAGAAGGCCCUAGGGUUGUAAAGUAUUUUCAGUCGGGAGGCGUUACCGACAGAAGAAGCACCGGCGAACUCCGUGCCAGCCGCCGCGGUAAUUC
rnacentral:rRNA from 1 species